rnacentral:rRNA from 1 species
CACUAUGGCUCGUGAGGCGUCCGGACUGGCCCAGAGAGGUGGGCAACUACCACUCAGGGCCGGAAAGCUCUCCAAACUCGGUCAUUUAGAGGAAGUAAAAGUCGUAACAAGGUCUCCGUUGGUGAACCAGCGGAGGGAUCAUUACCGAGUUUACAACUCCCAAACCCCUGUGAACAUACCAAUUGUUGCCUCGGCGGAUCAGCCCGCUCCCGGUAAAACGGAACGGCCCGCCAGAGGACCCCUAAACUCUGUUUCUAUAUGUAACUUCUGAGUAAAACCAUAAAUAAAUCAAAACUUUCAACAACGGAUCUCUUGGUUCUGGCAUCGAUGAAGAACGCAGCAAAAUGCGAUAAGUAAUGUGAAUUGCAGAAUUCAGUGAAUCAUCGAAUCUUUGAACGCACAUUGCGCCCGCCAGUAUUCUGGCGGGCAUGCCUGUUCGAGCGUCAUUUCAACCCUCAAGCCCCCGGGUUUGGUGUUGGGGAUCGGCCAGCCUCACGGCAAGCCGGCCCCGAAAUACAGUGGCGGUCUCGCUGCAGCUUCCAUUGCGUAGUAGUAAAACCCUCGCAACUGGGACGCGGCGCGGCCAAGCCGUUAAACCCCCAACUUCUGAAUGUUGACCUCGGAUCAGGUAGGAAUACCCGCUGAACUUAAACAUAUUAAUAAACGGAGGAAAAAAAAUCAACAGGGAUUGGCCCAGUAACGGCGAGGGUGAAGGGUCGGAUCUCAUUUGGAAUCUCUGCCUCGGGGCCCAGUUUAAAAUGUGGAGAGGGAUUUUUUGGGCGUGGCGGCCCCCUUUACCCCG